GACUCAAUGAAAACUCAACAACUGACUUUCAUUUCCAAAUCUGAAGAAAAUGAAGGAUACCAGUGUCACAUCAUUAAGAUACUGAGGGAC